AACGAACGCUGGCGGCAUGCCUAACACAUGCAAGUCGAACGAAGGCUUCGGCCUUGGUUGCGCACGUGUGCGUAACGCGUGGGAAUCUGCCCUUUGCUUCGGAAUAACAGUUAGAAAUGACUGCUAAUACCGGAUGAUGUCGCAAGACCAAAGAUUUAUCGGCAAAGGAUGAUCCCGCGUAGGAUUAGCUAGUUGGUGGGGUAAAGGCCUACCAAGGCGACGAUCCUUAGCUGGUCUGAGAGGAUGAUCAGCCACAAUGGGACUGAGACACGGCCCAGACUCCUACGGGAGGCAGCAGUGGGGAAUAUUGGACAAUGGGCGAAAGCCUGAUCCAGCGAUGCCGCGUGAGUGACGAAGGCCUUAGGGUUGUAAAGCUCUUUUACCCGGGAUGAUAAUGACAGUACCGGGAGAAUAAGCCCCGGCUAACUCCGUG
rnacentral:rRNA from 1 species